rnacentral:rRNA from 1 species
UCUACGGGGUGCAGCAGUCGAGGAAAUUUUUCAAUGCCCGCAAGGGUGAACGAGUAAGCCAGAGUGUUUUCUUUACGAAAACUUUUGCCUGAUGCAAAAAGUCAGGCGAAUAAGGACUGGGCAAGACCGGUGCCAGCCGCCGCGGUAAUCCCGGCGGUCCAAGUCGCAUCCACAAUUAUUGGGUCUAAAACAUCCGUAGCUUGUUUUGUAAGUCUCUUGUGAAAUUUCAUAUCUCAAAUAUGAAGCGCGCAAGAAAUACUACAUUGCUAGAGACUGGAAGACGCAAAGAGUACGAAGGAGGUAGCGGUAAAAUGUGUUAAUCUUCAUCGGACUAACAAUGGCGAAGGCACUUUGCGAGUACAGAUCUGACAGUGAGGGAUGAAGGCUAGGGGUGCAAAAGGGAUUAGAUACCCCCGUAGUCCUAGCAGUAAACACUGCUCACUAAACAUCAGUACCUCCUCGAGAGGUAUUGGUGCUGUAGGGAAGCCGAAGAGUGAGCUACCUGGGAAGUAUAGUCGCAAGACCGAAACU